UUAAGCUCAGGCUUGGGCUCUCAAUACCUUUCUCACCUUGGUGUGGGCAUAGCUAUCUCUGGGCUUGCCUCUGGGAUGGACCUCAGCAGUACAGGGUCCCCUUCCAGAUGACGGACAGAAAAGUGUUGGGCUGAUGCCCAUACCUGAUCCUGUCUCACCAGUCCUGCAGGGAGUAUUGUCUGCCCACUGAUACCAGCCAGCAUCACCACUGUGGUUAUGUCCCCCUGCUUGCUGUCCUGCCUUUGGAUCAGAGUUUAUGUGCUCCUGGGGCAUGAGUAAGCAGCUGGCAGUCUAUAGUCCAUAAAAAGGCAGUUGGAGACACCCACAUUUCUUUGCAGUUUGACCCAAAGCACAUCUGUGCUUCCCCAGGCCUCUCGUGUGGGUUCAUCCUCCAGGGCUACACCUAAGAAAUACAAGGAAAUCUAACAGGCCUGAUAAUAUGGGAAAAGGAAGUCACGCAGCUUCACAGUGCUUAAAGCAAGCCUCACAUUAAGUAGCCUACUGCACCGGUCUGAAAGGACAAAUGGGGUCUCCCCAUCAAAAAGCUCCUCUUUCCUGUCUGUUGGACCACAAAAACCAUGCUGAAGAAACACAGAGCAACACCUGGUUCUCCAGGGGUUGUUUUUCAGGUUGCUAGAAGAGGAAAGUAACUGUUUUAACCAUUGCCAGUGUCUCACAGCAGCAUGCAGGUCACUGCACACCUAUUAAAUUAAAAUCUUUGCGCAAAAGAAGCCUUAAAAUGUGAACUUGUGUUUGUGUUUAGAAACAAUACUAAGUGGUAGAGAUGCAUGCUGGAAAUAUAGAGUAGAAGCAGUUGUAGUUUAAUAGCUGGAAGGCAUGGUGAUGGGCAAAGCACCAACCUUUAACCAUCUGUGCCCAACACCCAGAGAACAGGGACCCCAGGGUGACAUGAGCCCCCUUCUCCCACCUCCAUCCCCAACUUGGUGGCCCUGUUGUGCCCAUUUUAACUGACCAGGGAAGUGUCUUUCUGCUCCUUUUAGCCAAAUACGCUCCCUCUACAGCAUAGGGAUGGGAAACCAUAAAGGACAAAUGAGAUUUGAUACACCCUGCCUGGGUCCUUCACUGCCACUGGUACCCAAGAGUACAUUGUCAAUGCCAGAGAGCUCUGAUCUUGUUUCUUGGG